GUUUGAUAAUCUAGACAUUCCUACUUCGUUCGAAUAAUCUUGGAGGUAAAGGAUCUUCUUUUAUUCAUCUAUGGAUAAAUCUAAAAUAUAAUUUAUACGCACUCAAUUCUGAUUUUUUGGUGGAGCACAGCACCAGUGGAGGCAUGUCGUUUGCAUCUUUGUGGGGACCAAAGGUUUGUCUCAGCUGUCAUUCUUGACUCAAAGUAAAGCCUAACAUUAGUUUACUUAUCAUACACAAGACAAUUAAGUUCUUGCAAUGACAGGACAGCUCAUGAAGUGUCGACUACCAAGUUGACUGGGGAAUCGAAGAGUUGACCUGUAGACGUUCUUGCAAUAAAAAUCACUUACUCCGCCUAUUUAAUUAAUCCCAACGUAUCAGGGAUCUCAUGGCUUCAGCAAACAGCACGGCGCUCCUUCUACUAUUCAUAGUGAUCUACUCCUGCUCCCAGUCUCUCGCAAAAAAUGGCGAGAACAAGGAGAUGACGAGCAGCAAAAAGCUGCGAAACUUGGGCCAAAGACAUCCAUUCGUACCUUCGCCGCCAAGAGGUGGUUUAAUGCACGGCUUAGGCCAACCGCCUACUCCGCCAGUUGGUUUCACUCCACCAACGGAGCAACCUCCGCCUGCUGCUGUAUGUCCUCCACCUCCGCCACCUAGUUAUUGUUAGAUCUUGCGAUCUUCGAUAUGGACGACUUUGAUUAGGUUAAAACGGAGCAUAAAUGAAGUAAUCAGUCGAUUUUGUAAGAAUUGGUUCUGGAGUUAAACUCCAUGGUAAAUGUAUGUUUGACUUGAUGGAAGCACCAA